UCAGUAUCCAUCGCCCCCGCGGGGGGUCC
rnacentral:sRNA from 1 species